UACAGAGGGUGCAAACGUUGCUCGGAAUUACUGGGCGUAAAGCGCGUGUAGGCGGGACGGUGUGUCAGGUGUGAAAUCCCCAAGCUCAACUUGGGAACCGCACCUGAAACUGCCGUUCUUGAGUAUCGGAGAGGGUGGCGGAAUUCCUGGUGUAGAGGUGAAAUUCGUAGAUAUCAGGAGGAACACCGGUGGCGAAGGCGGCCACCUGGACGAUUACUGACGCUGAGACGCGAAAGCGUGGGGAGCAAACAGG
rnacentral:rRNA from 1 species